rnacentral:rRNA from 1 species
AUGAACGCUAGCUACAGGCUUAACACAUGCAAGUCGAGGGGCAGCAUGACCUAGCAAUAGGUUGAUAGCGACCGGCGCACGGGUGAGUAACACGUAUCCAACCUGCCGAUUAUUCCGGGAUAGCCUUUCGAAAGAAGGAUUAAUACUGGAUAGCAUAACGAGAAGGCAUCUUCUUGUUAUUAAAGAAUUUCGAUAAUCGAUGGGGAUGCGUUCCAUUAGUUUGUUGGCGGGGUAACGGCCCACCAAGACAUCGAUGGAUAGGGGUUCUGAGAGGAAGGUCCCCCACAUUGGAACUGAGACACGGUCCAAACUCCUACGGGAGGCAGCAGUGAGGAAUAUUGGUCAAUGGACGAGAGUCUGAACCAGCCAAGUAGCGUGAAGGAUGACUGCCCUAUGGGUUGUAAACUUCUUUUAUAUGGGAAUAAAGUGAGCCACGUGUGGCUUUUUGUAUGUACCAUACGAAUAAGGAUCGGCUAACUCCGUGCCAGCAGCCGCGGUAAUACGGAGGAUCCGAGCGUUAUCCGGAUUUAUUGGGUUUAAAGGGAGCGUAGGCGGAUUAUUAAGUCAGUUGUGAAAGUUUGCGGCUCAACCGUAAAAUUGCAGUUGAUACUGGUAGUCUUGAGUGCAGCAGAGGUAGGCGGAAUUCGUGGUGUAGCGGUGAAAUGCUUAGAUAUCACGAAGAACUCCGAUUGCGAAGGCAGCUUACUGGACUGUAACUGACGCUGAUGCUCGAAAGUGUGGGUAUCAAACAGGAUUAGAUACCCUGGUAGUCCACACAGUAAACGAUGAAUACUCGCUGUUUGCGAUAUACAGCAAGCGGCCAAGCGAAAGCAUUAAGUAUUCCACCUGGGGAGUACGCCGGCAACGGUGAAACUCAAAGGAAUUGACGGGGGCCCGCACAAGCGGAGGAACAUGUGGUUUAAUUCGAUGAUACGCGAGGAACCUUACCCGGGCUUAAAUUGCAACUGACGGAUUUGGAAACAGAUCUUCCUUCGGGCAGUUGUGAAGGUGCUGCAUGGUUGUCGUCAGCUCGUGCCGUGAGGUGUCGGCUUAAGUGCCAUAACGAGCGCAACCCUUAUCUUUAGUUACUAACAGGUCAUGCUGAGGACUCUAGAGAGACUGCCGUCGUAAGAUGUGAGGAAGGUGGGGAUGACGUCAAAUCAGCACGGCCCUUACGUCCGGGGCUACACACGUGUUACAAUGGGGGGUACAGAAGGCAGCUACACAGCGAUGUGAUGCUAAUCCCAAAAGCCUCUCUCAGUUCGGAUUGGAGUCUGCAACCCGACUCCAUGAAGCUGGAUUCGCUUGUAAUCGCGCAUCAGCCACGGCGCGGUGAAUACGUUCCCGGGCCUUGUACACACCGCCCGUCAAGCCAUGAAAGCCGGGGGUACCUGAAGUACGUAACCGCAAGGAGCGUCCUAGGGUAAAACUGGUAAUUGGGGCU